rnacentral:lncRNA from 1 species
GAGAGGAGAGAACUUCCCAGCACCCCGUCUCUUCUAAUUAUACUAGGUGAAGAAGAGAAUUCUCAAAAACCUCGUGAAAACAUGAUUAAAUACCUAUUUUCAUGUUUCUAGCUAACAGACAACGAGAAUUAAUUCUCGUUUAAUGAGCUUUAAUUCUCGCCCAACAAGUGAAUAUUGUCGCCUAAUGAGUGAACAGUGCCAACUGAAUAGUGAACAAUGAAUAAUGAAUAAUGUCGUAUGAAUAGUGCCA